CUGGAGAGAAUAUGCUUCUUCUCCACAUCAAGUGUGGAGAAUCCUUCACUUUCUUUUGCUUUGCUCUUUUAUGCUCCUAUCUAUCUUCCACUGAAGCUCAAAGCUCAAGGAGAGAGUGGGGGUGGGGGUUCUUCUUGGCUCCGGUCUCGCAUUGCAGAGCAUGGAGCUGCUUUGUUGAUGGUCAUCUAAUCCCUCAUCUUGUUGAUCCUUUACUAAUGAAGGGUCUGGGAUUGGGAUUAGAUGACCAUCAACGAACACUUCCAUGAGGCACUUACCUCUGUAUCGUUCCAGCUUCUCUUCAGCACCCGACGAGCUUCCGUCGGGAUCCAGGUCCACGUGAAGCAGAUUGGUCACGAUCGUUUUUCAUAGGAUUCCUGCAAAUUCAAUAGCUAUGA